UACGGGGGGUGCGAGCGUUGUCCGGAAUCACUGGGCGUAAAGGGCGCGUAGGUGGUUUGAUAAGGGUGUGGUGAAAGUCCGGGGCUCAACCCCGGAUCUGCCGUGCCGACUGUCAAACUCGAGGGCUGUAGAGGCAGACGGAAUUCCGGGUGUAGCGGUGGAAUGCGUAGAGAUCGGGAAGAACAUCGGUGGCGAAGGCGGUCUGCUGGGCCGUUGCUGACGCUGAGGCGCGACAGCGUGGGGAGCAAACAGG
rnacentral:rRNA from 1 species